GGAUAACUAGGUAAAAAUUUCGGA
rnacentral:siRNA from 1 species